GCUUCAGCAACGUCCGAAACCCCACCUCCUCCUGUCUCUCUCUCUCUCUCUCUCCACCCCAUCUCAGGCGGCGUGGAAUCCUGGCUGUGUUUAAUUGCCGAGUGGCAAGAUCUGAGGGAAAGAUCGGGAGCCACUGCGUCUGUCAACGCUUUACGAGCCCCAACCCCGGGAGAGAGAGACGGGGAAGGUGUAGGAAGGAAGUGUUUGGAGUUUGGGAACGGUUGAGCUGGGGAAUUUUUACGCAGUGGGUAGGUGAAGAAAGAGGUGAAAUGCUGAAGUAAGACUUCAGAGUUGGAGAAAAAAAAGAGGGAGGGAAAGAAAAGAGGCCCACCGUUGGAGAAAGGGCAAUGAGAGGGAAAAGUGGGAAAACAAGAGUAAGUUAGAAAAAGGAGGAAGGAAGGAAGGAAGGAAGGAAGGGGGAGGUGAGCGAAAAGUUAGAGAGGGAGAGACAAACGCAGUGAAUGAGAGGAGACGCAGAUGAGAAAAACAGACGCUGUGGAUGGCCUGGGUGGAGAGAGAACCAGUUGUUUUCUAAGUCGCCUUUCGGACUGGAAUGCACUCGGAGGAUUUGAGAUUCCCGACGCCUUACUGCCAAGUUUGCUUGCGACGCGCACCGGGCCCCGCAGACGGAUCAUGUCUGCGUAUGGAGUCUGGAGUAGCCCCGUUCCCAAAGGAGUUGGGGAUGGAGCGAGCGGAGAGGACUGGAGCAUCUCCGGUUAAUGCCGUAGAGAUCCGGCACCCGUGCUACAGGUGGGACUCGCCAUGCGUUCGGGAGAUCUGGCGGGAGUGCGGAUGUGUCCAGCGGUGGUUUUACCCAGAGUUGUUGCAUCCCUUCAACGGCGACCAUGUUUUGAAGGUCAGAGGUCACCAGUGCUACUCAUCCUACGUUCAGGAAUGGGACAACGUUCAUCAGCCUGAAUAUAACAGACAUUGCGAAAGGAGACGUGUGUCGUUCCGGCAUCACGAGGAGCGACCCAAGACUGGCAGACAAUCACACUGUAACGGGCCGAACUCUAAUCAGGUGGGUUUUUUCCCAACCGAGGUGCCCUCAAGUAAGCUGGGCCGCUCCAGGGCACUCGGGAACGGGCUGCAGGUGAACGGAUCGCAGCGGGAAGUAAGGACGUCUCGGGGGGACGAGGGUCUGGAGAAACAAGGCAAGCAGAGGAAGAGCCAGGGAACAGUACGGGAACAGAUCAAACAAGUGGUCACGGAGCUCGAGGAAGUGCUGGGUGGUCUCAAACAGGUCCAGUUGGAAAUGAAAGAGGUCGUCCAACAGAUUGACAUUCUGACGUCCAAUAUUGACCUUGGUGAAGACGAACCAAGUCCAUCCAAUGGACUCUCCCAAGAUGCAACCAAAAGCAGUCGAACUGGUGUUGUGGCAUUGAUCCACAAUUCAAACAGCGAAGAGGACAUGUCCACUUCCAAUUCCUCUCUCGCUCACAGCCCUGUCACUGUGGAUUUUGUUCACAUUAACAGUCCUUCACCGAUGACAAACUGCACAAAUCCAUCCCCUCCUGAGCAACGAUCUGUUACUGCUGAGGAUAAAGGCAAACGAGUUGUGAAACAGAGCUCAGAGACUCAAAGGACAGCCAAUGGAAACUGCCUACCUCAUCGAACAGCAAGGAAAGGCCAACUGGAAAACCACAGACCACCUGUAGCUCCAGCAGUGUGCACUAACUCAAAUAAAACCCAACGGCCUCCACCUUACCCUCAGAACGGACAGGUGAAGAUGAGGACACCCCCCUAUCCUGGAAAACAUAAGACCCUCUCCUCCACCGUAGUGUAA
ensembl:lncRNA